UUAGCUGUAAACGAUGGAUACUAGGUGUUGGGAGAGUAACUCUCUCAGUGCCGAAGCUAACGCGUUAAGUAUCCCACCUGGAGAGUACGAUCGCAAGGUUGAAACUCAAAGGAAUUGACGGGGGCCCGCACAAGCAGCGAGGUAUGUGGUUUAAUUCGAGGCUACACGAAGAACCUUACCUGGGCUUGACAUGUAAGUGAAAGGGUUAAGAAACUAACUCUCUCUUAUGUAGCAAUACAUAAGACACUUACACAGGUGG
rnacentral:rRNA from 1 species